CCUACGGGAGGCAGCAGUAGGGAAUAUUGCUCAAUGGGGGAAACCCUGAAGCAGCAACGCCGCGUGGAGGAUGAAGGUUUUCGGAUUGUAAACUCCUUUUGUUAGAGAAGAUAAUGACGGUACCUAACGAAUAAGCACCGGCUAACUACGUGCCAGCAGCCGCGGUAAUACGGAGGGUGCAAGCGUUAUCCGGAAUCACUGGGCGUAAAGAGCGCGUAGGCGGGAUAGCAAGUCAGAUGUGAAAUCCGAUGGCUUAACCAUAGAACUGCAUUUGAAACUGUUAUUCUAGAGUAGGGGAGAGGUAGGUGGAAUUCUUUGUGUAGGCGUAGAAUCCGUAGAGAUCAAGAAGAAUACUGAUUGCGAAGGCAGCCUGCUAGAACUUAACUGACGCUGAUGCGCGAAAGCGUGGGGAGCGAACAGGAUUAGAUACCCGGGUAGUC
rnacentral:rRNA from 1 species